rnacentral:rRNA from 1 species
AUACGUAGGGGGCGAGCGUUGUCCGGAAUGAUUGGGCGUAAAGGGCGCGUAGGCGGCCCGGUAAGUCUGGAGUGAAAGUCCUGUUUUUAAGAUGGGAAUUGCUUUGGAUACUGUCGGGCUUGAGUGCAGGAGAGGUAAGUGGAAUUCCCAGUGUAGCGGUGAAAUGCGUAGAGAUUGGGAGGAACACCAGUGGCGAAGGCGACUUACUGGACUGUAACUGACGCUGAGGCGCGAAAGUGUGGGGAGCAAACAGGAUUAGAUUCCCUGAUAGUCCACGCUGUAAACGAUGAAUGCUAGGUGUAGGGGGUAUCGACCCCUUCUGUGCCGCAGUCAACACAAUAAGCAUUCCGCCUGGGGAGUACGGCCGCAAGGUUGAAACUCAAAGGAAUUGACGGGG